ACAGCUUUGAACAAAAGUCCACAGCCAGUGUGUUCCAAGUCCCUGCACAGGGCUGGCUGUGGCAGGGGACACUCUCCUGCUGGCUCUCUCUGACCACACAUUAGCUGGCUCCCAUCCUCAGGUGCACGGCCACACCCUUGCACCCAACCUUGAUCCUCUGAUGGGGAAGGUCCCAGGACUUGCCAGCUGGGACAGGCCUCACCCCCAAGCGCUCU
rfam:Rattus norvegicus strain BN; Sprague-Dawley chromosome 2 CRA_213000034412305, whole genome shotgun sequence.